UACGUAGGGGGCAAGCGUUAUCCGGAUUUACUGGGUGUAAAGGGAGCGUAGACGGCUUAGCAAGUCUGAUGUGAAAACCCGGGGCUCAACCGCGGGAUUGUAUUGGAAACUGUUAAGCUUGAGUACUGGAGGGGCAGGCGGAAUUCCUGGUGUAGCGGUGAGAUGCGUAGAUAUCAGGAGGAACACCGGUGGCGAAGGCGGCCUGCUGGACAGAAACUGACGUUGAGGCUCGAAAGCGUGGGGAGCAAAC
rnacentral:rRNA from 1 species